GACGAACGCUGGCGGCGUGCUUAACACAUGCAAGUCGAACGGAAAGGCCUGCUUUCCCUUGUGGAUUGCGGGUACUCGAGUGGCGAACGGGUGAGUAACACGUGAGUGAUCUGCCCCCAACUUGGGUAUAAGCCUGGGAAACUGGGUCUAAUUCCCGAUAGGACUGCAGGGUGGUGCCUGUGGUGGAAAACGAUUUUCUAGUGGUUGGGGAUGAGCUCGCGGCCUAUCAGCUUGUUGGUGGGGUAAUGGCCUACCAAGGCGGCGACGGGUAGCCGGCCUGAGAGGGUGGACGGCCACAUUGGGACUGAGAUACGGCCCAGACUCCUACGGGAGGCAGCAGUGGGGAAUAUUGCACAAUGGGCGGAAGCCUGAUGCAGCGACGCCGCGUGGGGGAUGACGGCCUUCGGGUGGUAAACUCCUUUCGACCGCGAGGAAGCCACCCGGUUGGAAGGGUGGUGACGGUAGUGGUAGAAGAAGCACCGGCUAACUACGUG
rnacentral:rRNA from 1 species